UCCGAGUUGACCCCGGCAGUCUCCCAUGAGUCCCCGGCAUAACCCGCUGGCAACAUGGAACGAGGGUUGCGCUCGUUGCGGGACUUAACCCAACAUCUCACGACACGAGCUGACGACAGCCAUGCAGCACCUGUGUCCAGGUUCCCUUUCGGGCACCCCUCCAUCUCUGGAGGGUUCCUGGCAUGUCAAGGGUAGGUAAGGUUUUUCGCGUUGCAUCGAAUUAAACCACAUGCUCCACCGCUUGUGCAGGCACCCGUCAAUUCCUUUGAGUUUUAGCCUUGCGGCCGUACUCCCCAGGCGGGGCGCUUAAUGCGUUAGCUGCGGCACGGAACCCGUGGAAUGGAUCCCACACCUAGCGCCCAACGUUUACGGCGUGGACUAC
rnacentral:misc_RNA from 1 species